rnacentral:piRNA from 1 species
UGAUUUUUCUCAGACUGGUUGUGU